AUUGAACGCUGGCGGCAGGCCUAACACAUGCAAGUCGAACGAGUGGCGGACGGGUGAGUAAUGUCUGGGAAACUGCCUGAUGGAGGGGGAUAACUACUGGAAACGGUAGCUAAUACCGCAUACCAUCGGAUGUGCCCAGAUGGGAUUAGAUAGGAGGUGGGGUAAAGGCUCACCUAGGCGACGAUCCCUAGCUGGUCUGAGAGGAUGACCAGCCACACGUGAACAGAGACACGGUCCAGACUCCGACGGGAGGCAGCAGUGGGGAAGAUGGCACAAUGGGCGCAAGCCUGAUGCAGCCAUGCCGCGUGGAUGAAGAAGGCGUUCGGGUUUUAAAGUACUUUCAGCUGGGAGGCGUUACCCGCAGAAGAAGCACCGGCUAACUCCGUGCCAGCAGCCGCGGUAAUAC
rnacentral:rRNA from 1 species